GACGAACGCUGGCGGCGUGCUUAACACAUGCAAGUCGAGCGGUAAGGCCCUUUCGGGGGUACACGAGCGGCGAACGGGUGAGUAACACGUGGGUGACCUGCCCUUAGCUCUGGGAUAAGCCUGGGAAACUGGGUCUAAUACCGGAUAUGACUCCAUGACGCAUGUUGUGGGGUGGAAAGCCUUGUGCGGCUAGGGGAUGGGGCCCGCGGCCUAUCAGCUUUGUUGGUGGGGUGAUGGGCCACCAAGGCGACGACGGGUAGCCGGCCUGAGAGGGCGACCGGCCACACUGGGACUGAGACACGGCCCAGACUCCUACGGGA
rnacentral:rRNA from 1 species